rnacentral:rRNA from 1 species
GACGAACGCUGGCGGCGUGCCUAAUACAUGCAAGUGGGACGCAAGGGAACACACUGUGCUUGCACACCGUGUUUUCUUGAGUCGCGAACGGGUGAGUAACGCGUAGGUAACCUGCCUAUUAGCGGGGGAUAACUAUUGGAAACGAUAGCUAAUACCGCAUAAUAUUAAUUAUUGCAUGAUAACUGAUUGAAAGAUGCAAGCGCAUCACUAGUAGAUGGACCUGCGUUGUAUUAGCUAGUUGGUAAGGUAAGAGCUUACCAAGGCGACGAUACAUAGCCGACCUGAGAGGGUGAUCGGCCACACUGGGACUGAGACACGGCCCAGACUCCUACGGGAGGCAGCAGUAGGGAAUCUUCGGCAAUGGACGAAAGUCUGACCGAGCAACGCCGCGUGAGUGAAGAAGGUUUUCGGAUCGUAAAGCUCUGUUGUAAGUCAAGAACGUGUGUGAGA